UUUCAAAAUUUCUUUUAUAAAGCCCAUGUUUUUGUACUGGAGAUGUAGAGAAUCAUCAGGAAGGCCUCGAGAUUCAAUCUGAAGAUUCCACAUCAAGGAGAAAUGGCCAUACUCCUAUUUUUAGGUGUACAAGCCAGUGUUUCGUCAGAGAUGGUGAUAGUCACAAGGACAGAAAAGCCCAGGAUGGAUGACACACAAGACUCACACUUUCCCAGAGAACCUUCUGCUGGCCUCCUCCCAAGUCAUGGUGAGUUCCAUGGUGAAACUGGAGUAUGUCCUUCACUUUGU
rnacentral:lncRNA from 1 species